rfam:Oryza sativa Japonica Group DNA, chromosome 9, cultivar: Nipponbare, complete sequence.
AAUAGAUAACGCCAUUGACUUUUUCUCACAUGUUUGACCAUUCGUCUUAUUCAAAAAAUUUAUAUAAUUAUAAUUUAUUUUAUUAUGAGUUGUUUUAUCACUCAUAGUACUUUAAGUGUGAUUUAUAUCUUAUACAUUUGCAUAAAUUUUUUAAAUAAGACGAAUGGUUAAACAUGUGAGAAAAAGUCAACGGCGGCGUAUAUU